CGAACGAGCACCUGUGCUUAGUGGCAAAUGGGUGAGUAACACGUACUUAAUCUACCCCCAAGUUUGGGAUAACAGUUGGAAACAAUUGCUAAUACCAAAUACAUAUAAGUUUUGCAUAAUUCUUAUAUAAAAGGAGCGUUUGUUUCGCUAGGGGAUGAGAGUGCGCUACAUUAGUUAGUUGGUAGGGUAAGAGCCUACCAAGACUAUGAUGUAUAGCGGGGCUGAGAAGCUGAACCGCCACACUGGGACUGAGAUACGGCCCAGACUCCUACGGGAGGCAGCAGUAGGGAAUAUUCCACAAUGAGCGAAAGCUUGAUGGAGCAACACAGCGUGCAGGAAGACGACCUUAGGGUUGUAAACUGCUGCUAUGAGGGAAGAAAAAUAAAAUUAGGAAAUGAAUUUUACAUGACGGUACCUCAUCAGAAAGCACCGGCAAACUAUGUGCCAGCAGCCGCGGUAAUACAUAGGGUGCAAGCGUUAUCCGGAAUUAUUGGGCGUAAAGUGUCUGUAGGUGGUAUGUUAAGUCUAGUGUUAAAGACUAGG
rnacentral:rRNA from 1 species